rnacentral:rRNA from 1 species
GACGUAGGGGACGAGCGUUGUCCGGAUUCAUUGGGCGUAAAGGGUGCGUAGGCGGCGCGGUAAGUCGGGUGUGAAAUCUCGGGGCUUAACUCCGAAACUGCAUUCGAUACUACCGUGCUUGAGGACUGGAGAGGAGACUGGAAUUUACGGUGUAGCGGUGAAAUGCGUAGAUAUCGUAAGGAAGACCAGUGGCGAAGGCGGGUCUCUGGACAGUUCCUGACGCUGAGGCACGAAGGCCAGGGGAGCAAACGGG